rnacentral:rRNA from 1 species
UACGGAGGGUGCAAGCGUUAUCCGGAUUCACUGGGUUUAAAGGGAGCGCAGGCGGACCUGUAAGUCAGUGGUGAAAUACCUGAGCUUAACUCGGGAACUGCCAUUGAUACUAUCGGUCUUGAAUGUUGUUGGAGGUUUGCGGAAUGGGUCAUGUAGCGGUGAAAUGCCAUAGAUAUGACCCGGAACACCUAUUGCGAAGGCAGCAGGCUAAACAAAUAUUGACGCUGGAGGCUCGAAAGCGUGGGGAUCAAACGG